AAAAGAUAUUUUAAUGAAAAGUGCUAUUCUAUAGUUUUAAUUAAUAUUUGAUCACAAGAUAUACCUACUCGUUAAUAUAAAAUGAAAAUUCUAAUUUUAUUCUUAAUCAUUCUUUCUAUGUUUUACCUUGCGUCCUGUGAUGAGCGCAUGGUGAAUGGAAACGAAGUAGACAUUUCAACAUUUUAUUGGCAAUUGUCCUUUUCAAGUAAUUUUCAACAUUUUUGCGGUGCAGCAAUGAUCAGUAAGCGAUGGGCAAUAACAACCGCUUUUUGUGCUAAAAAAACGUCUAUCCAUGCAGC